UGGCGGCAGGCUUAACACAUGCAAGUCGAGCGGUAGCAGAUCUAGCUUGCCAGAUGCUGACGAGCGGCGGACGGGUGAGUAACGCGUAGGAACCUGCCCAGUAGUGGGGGAUAGCCCGGGGAAACUCGGAUUAAUACCGCAUACGCUCUACGGAGGAAAGAGGGGGCUUCGGCUCUCGCUAGGGGGGGGGGGGGUUAUGGGCCUGCGUGAGAUUAGCUAGUUGGUGAGGUAAUGGCUCACCAAGGCGACGAUCUCUAGCUGGUCUGAGAGGAUGAUCAGCCACACUGGGACUGAGACACGGCCCAGACUCCUACGGGAGGCAGCAGUGGGGAAUAUUGCACAAUGGGCGCAAGCCUGAUGCAGCCAUGCCGCGUGUGUGAAGAAGGCUUUCGGGUUGUAAAGCACUUUCAGUGGGGAGGAAGGCCUCGUAGUUAAUAGCUGCGAGGAUUGACGUUACCCACAGAAGAAGCACCGGCUAACUCCGUG
rnacentral:rRNA from 1 species